UACGGAGGGGGCGAGCGUUGUUCGGAAUCACUGGGUGUAAAGGGUGCGUAGGCGGUCCGUUAAGUCAGACGUGAAAUCCCUCGGCUUAACCGGGGAACUGCGUCUGAUACUGGAUGGCUUGGGAUUGGGAGAGGGAUGCGGAAUUCCAGGUGUAGCGGUGAAAUGCGUAGAUAUCUGGAGGAACACCGGUGGCGAAGGCGGCAUCCUGGACCAACACUGACGCUGAGGAGCGAAAGCCAGGGGAGCAAACGGG
rnacentral:rRNA from 1 species